UAACCCUGGAAAUGGGCAAAGAGACACCCUGUUGCUGAUGUUGUUCUUAUAUCAGUCAGGGGCAGAGCAGAUGGCAGUCCUUUGUUCAUCCUAGCUGGAUGCCUGGCUUGGUGGCCGGUGGAUUGUAAAGGCAUACCAUAGACAUCUGC
rfam:Mus musculus chromosome 18, GRC primary reference assembly.